rnacentral:rRNA from 1 species
GACGAACGCUGGCGGCGUGCUUAACACAUGCAAGUCGAACGGUAAGGCCCUUCGGGGUACACGAGUGGCGAAGAGGUGAGUAACACGUGGGUGAUCUGACCUUCACUUCGGGAUAAGCCUGGGAAACUGGGUCUAAUACCGGAUAGGACCCAGGGAUGCAUGUCCUGGGGUGGAAAACUUUUGCGGUGUGGGAUUGGCCCGCGGGCUAGCAGCUUGUUGGUGGGGUGAUGGCGUACCAAGGCGACGACGGGUAGCCGGACUGAGAGGGUGACCGGCCACACUGGGACUGAGAUACGGCCCAGACUACUACGGGAUGCAGCAGUGUGGAAUAUUGCACAAUGGGCGCAAGCCGGAUGCAGCGACGCCGCGUGAGGGAUGACGGCCUUCGGGUUGUAAACCUCUUUCAGCACCGACGAAGCGCAAGUGACGGUAGGUGCAGAAGAAGGACCGGCCAACUACGUGCCAGCAGCCGCCGUAA